CUCUUCUCCACGUGCACGUGUUAGCAAUAAAGAUACUCCUUCUCCAUCAUUGUUUCGUUCGUUUCUGAACUCUAUUGGGUUGAGCAUAGGUGGAGGCACAGAUUAAACAAAGUCCAAAAUCCACUGCUCCUACAUCAGAGCUCCAGGAAGAAAGACAGCACCUUAAAAUAUUGUUAGCUCACAAAAACUCAGCUCUCUAUGUCUCUUUCUCUCUCUGCCUUUUGGUCUGAGUCAAAACUAAAGGGGUAGAGAAAUCUGGACAAGUUGCCUCUUCUACCAUCAAUGAGUAUUCCUAGGCUAUCUUAGCUCCGUGGAGAAACAUCUCCUGAAUAUUUGAACAUGGUCCAGAAACUCAAGCAAGAAUUCUGUCUGGGAUAAGGCAUUAUGACCAUGUGACCCAGGGAUGGAGAGCCCAUGGUCCCACUGAUGUUGUUGGACUUCCAACUCCUGACAGCCCAUAGGUUUUGACCUAUAAAGUCUUGCAAAGCCUGGUACCUUGAAAUGAGUUCAACAGAGACCAUCAACUCAUCUGCUUUCUGCAUUUAUUUUUAUUGUUUUCUUUAAAAAAUUAUGAACCUUCCCAGUCAAUCAGCCAGUGUAGUGUAGUGGUUAGAGUGUUGGAGUCUGACAGAGGAGACCCACUCAGCCAUGAAGCUCACUGACCUUGGGCAGCUACCCACCUUUCAACCUAAUCUACCUCAUAGAAUUGUUGUGAGGAAGAUCAAAUGGAUUGACUGACAGAGCUCCAGUGGCCGGAGUAGUUUAACAGUCAGCCCCUCUUCUUGUUAUUGUAGCUUGUGAGGACAAUAGGGUAGCUCCUAACAACUCUCAGCAUCCUUCCAAACUACACUUCUCAGGAUUCUUUGGGGGAAGCCAUGACAGUCUAAAAUAAAAUAAAGGUCUGGUGUGGAUGUGGCCAGGAACAGCUUUGGUUUAAAUUUGGGUGGGAGACUGCAAGUGUCUGCAAGGGUGGGGAAACCCUGAAAAACACCGAUACUGUUCACAGUGUUUUCCAUUCACCAUAUGCUCAGAGGCACAUGUUACUAAAUUCCUCCAAGCGACACAGGAAGUGGAUUGGACUGUGAAACAUCAACCCAAAUUGUCUUUGCAUUUUUACAACUUUGUAGGGCAGUACAAUAUCUCAGAGAGGAGGUCAGGUCUCCUGCUCCCCUGGUGCAUUCACUAUAGGUGCACAAUUUCCCUGCUUUUUAAAGUUUGAUAGAAAGAUCUGUUGGCUACAGGUACAUUCUUAAAUGCAAGGGUUUUUUUUGCCAAUUAGUGAAUAACAAUACUGCCCUCAUUUAAGUACUUGGGUACCAAGCUGUUUAGGACUUUGUACAUGAGUAUUAACACCUUGAAUUGAGCCAGAUACUGUGCAGCACUGUCAGGACCAGUGACAUAUGGUCCCAUAAGGCUGCCCCACUCAUCAAACUAGCUGCUGCAUACUACACUAGCUGCAGCCUCCAAACCAUCUUCAAGGGGAGUUUUAUGCAGGAUACUUUGCAGUAGUCCAGGCAGGAGGUCACUUAAAGGGCUGUUCAGUGGUGGUAACCAGAAGGUGGAAUGUGGUGAGAAACAUCCACUUGGUGAUUGUAGUGAAGCUAACAAGAAGGAGGGUUUGAUUCAGCUGAUUUGUGUCCCUCACUUCCCUCUCAUGUUGCAAAUUAGAGCAGGUGAAAUUACAGCGGGCAAUAUCACUGAGCUCUGUAGCCCAUCCCUACUUACAUGUUUUAAAUUGUUUAUUAAAUGCCUGGUAUGAUGUGGGGUUAUUUUUUAAAAAUACCUGUACUGUGUGCAUUGUCAACUUUUGAUUUUUACCAAGGAGAGAGAUGGCAAAGAAUGCAGGUUCCGCUUCUGAGCGCAAGGAUCUGAUCACAGAUUAUAUUAUAGCCAAGUAAGAAACAAGCUGCCACCUGCCCAGGAUCAAGACAUCAGUGGCAUUUAGUGAAAUGCAAGAGAUGCUAUCACAGAUUGUUGACAGGUCGGAAUACAAGAAGAGCCCUCUGGGAUUAGGCCAGUGGCCCAUCAUCUCACAGUGGCCAACCAAAUACCUAUGCAACGCCUGAAAGUAAGAAUUGAGGGCAACAGCAUUCUCCCAACUUGUGAUUCCCAGCAACUGGUAUUCAGAGGCAGACUGUGCUUCAUCACUGAGCCCAUCUCUCAAAGACAAUUGUGGCUGAGAGAAGCUCAUUUCUCAAUACAGAGGAAGACUGGAAUUCUCAAACUUUGUCGCUGAUCUCCUUAUCCUAUGACAAAGAAAACGUCUCCCAAGUGUGGUCAAAUUAUGUCUCUGUUGGUGGUGUAGCAGAUGUGAAAUGCAGGGUGCAAUCCUAACCACACUUCCUGGGGACUAAAUCCCACUGAACCAUGCAAGGCUUACUUCUGUGUAAACAUAAUUAGGAAAAAAAUGCAUUUACAGUUGAUUUAUUACAUUCAGCAAUAAAUUCUGAAGUAGAGGUGUUCUUCAAGACAACUGCCACAGGCAACACCCUACUGAGAUGACGGACAAGGAGAGAUUAGGUUCAGCUCACAUUUCAAGGCAAACUUACUUCAUUUGCCCCUCCUGAAACAAUAUGCAAAUAGAAACGCAGCUACCUUUCGAAAUUCACACUUCUCCACAAUUUGCUGUGCAGUUCUCCAGCCAGGUAAUGCAUAUAAAAAUGCAUCUGGGUAAAAUUUAAAUAAGAAUGCACAUAUUGGUGAAAAUAGCAUGCGAAAAAGCUUUAGAACAGGGAAAAUAGCUUGCAAAAAUGUGUAUUAAAAAUUAGAAGAAAUUCACCCUAAAAGGCUGAUGAAUUUUCAAGAGGACUUUAAAUAAAUAAAUAAAUAAAUAAAUUGCACACUGAUGAAGAAAUGUGAAUUGCAACUUAGGACUGGAAAGAUGAGAGACCGAAAUUGAAAGAUUCGUCCUUCCAUAUAUAGCAAAAAUGAAACUUUUCCAGAGCUUGGAAAAGUUACUUUUUUAAACUACAACUCCCAUCAGCCCCAGCCAGCAUGGCCACUGGAUUGGGCUGAUGGGAGCUGUAGUUCAAAAAAGUAACUUUUCCAAGCUCUGCAGUUUUGACCAAUACACAUGUGGCUACCGUUCCCUGGGAAGACGGACUGAUUGUUAAACCAUGCUGGGAAUUGUAGCUCUGUGAGGGGAGUAGGUGUCUCCCAAUAACUUUCAGCAUCUUUUACAAGCUACAGUUCCCAGACUUCUUCAGGGGGAAACCAUGACUGUUUAAAGUGGUUUUUUGUUAUGUGCCUCCAAGUUGACUACGACUUAUGGCGACCCUACAUUUCUUCUAGCAUGGAACUCAAGUCUCAAUCCCCAGCAUCUCCACAUAGGAUUUAGGAGAGACCCCUGCCCGAAAUCCUGUAUAGACACUGCCAGUCAGUGUAGUCCCCAGGCAGCCUCUCAGCCAGACCCAGGCUGGCUUAGCUUCAUGUUUAUUUAUACAAAAAUUUAUACCCUGCUACUUUACUUUAUAAAAUAAACUCAAAGAGGCUUAUAAAAACUAAAUUUUAAAAUACAAUAAGAAUCAUUAAAUUACAGUAAGAAACAGUUCAAAUAUUGAAAUAAAAUUCACAGUAAAAUCAAUAGCAUGGUUAAAACCAUUCAACAUAAAAACAGAGAAACAGACCUUUAAACCAUACUGCAAGGUUCGGGGAAAUAAAAAUGACUUAAGUUGCCUGAAGCUUAAGGAAGAUGGGGAGCCAACCAACUGUUGGUAUACAGAUUUUUUGUUCUCAUGCAAAUAAUAUUUAAUCUUAGCCAACGCCACAAGGAAGAAGACUUCAUGAGAUGAAGAUAUAGACUAUCCUGAUUGUAGCUAAAUGAUGUAUAAGCAAAUUAAUUGGCUGCUGUUCACAAUAUAUGUCCUAAAAAAAGAGUUAACAACAAACACUGUCUUUUAAAAUGCACACUUUUAUUUGUAAAUAUGUCAUUAAUCUGCAGCAAACCUCCUUAUGCCUUCAUGUCAUGCCUUAGGACAAGGAGAUAACUGAUGACCUCUGAAGACAGACAAACCAGUUUCUGCUUUGUUAAGCCUGUUUCAGACCUUUUAUGGUUUUUCAGCCAAGGAAAUCUGGAAAUUUUAGUUGUCUGAAGGUGUUGCUGUCCGAAAACCUUUUCUUUUUUUUAAAGGAUUUGUGGGAGCAGGUUAAUUAUGCAUUUUUCUGUUGUUUCUGCAGCUGUGUUGAAUUGGCUUUUAAUUUUGUUGUAUAUCAUCUUAAA